rnacentral:rRNA from 1 species
UACGUAGGGGGCUAGCGUUGUCCGGAAUCAUUGGGCGUAAAGGGCUCGUAGGCGGCCAACUAAGUCAGACGUGAAAUCCCUCAGCUUAACUGGGGAACUGCGUCUGAUACUGGAUGGCUUGGAUUUGGGAGAGGGCAGUGGAAUUUCCGGUGUAGCGGUGAAAUGCGUAGAGAUCGGAAGGAACACCAGUGGCGAAGGCGGCUGCCUGGCCUAAUACUGACACUGAGGCACGAAAGCGUGGGGAGCAAACAGG